rnacentral:rRNA from 1 species
CGAAUGGGGCAAGCGUUGUUCGGAAUCACUGGGCUUAAAGCGUGCGUAGGCGGAUCUGCAAGUCAGAAGUGAAAUCCCCGGGCUUAACCCGGGAACUGCUUUUGAAACUGCAAAUCUGGAAUCCGGGAGGGGUUAGGAGAAUUCCUAGUGUAGAGGUGAAAUUCGCAGAUAUUAGGAGGAAUACCAGUGGCGUAGGCGCCUAACUGGACCGGUAUUGACGCUGAGGUACGAAAGCGUGGGUAGCAAACAGGAUUAGAUACCCUGGUAGUCCACGCCAUAAACGAUGUGUGCUAGUUGUCGGAGCCUUAGGCUUCGGUGACGGAGAGAAAUCAUUAAGCACACCGCCUGGGGAGUACGGUCGCAAGAUUA